rnacentral:rRNA from 1 species
GACGAACGCUGGCGGCGUGCUUAACACAUGCUUGUCGAACGGAAAGGCCCUGCUUUUGUGGGGUGCUCGAGUGGCGAACGGGUGAGUAACACGUGAGUAACCUGCCCUUGACUUUGGGAUAACCUCAGGAAACUGGGGCUAAUACCGGAUAGGAGCUCCUGCUGCAUGGUGGGGGUUGGAAAGUUUCGGCGGUUGGGGAUGGACUCGCGGCUUAUCAGCUUGUUGGUGGGGUAGUGGCUUACCAAGGCUUUGACGGGUAGCCGGCCUGAGAGGGUGACCGGCCACAUUGGGACUGAGAUACGGCCCAGACUCCUACGGGAGGCAGCGGUGGGGAAUAUUGCACAAUGGGCGGAAGCCUGAUGCAGCAACGCCGCGUGCGGGAUGACGGCCUUCGGGUUGUAAACCGCCUUCGCCUGUGACGAAGCGUGAGUGACGGUAAUGGGUAAAGAAGCACCGGCUAACUACGUGCCAGCAGCCGCGGUGAUACGUAGGGUGCGAGCGUUGUCCGGAUUUAUUGGGCGUAAAGGGCUCGUAGGUGGUUGAUCGCGUCGGAAGUGUAAUCUUGGGGCUUAACCCUGAGCGUGCUUUCGAUACGGGCUGACUUGAGGAAGGUAGGGGAGAAUGGAAUUCCUGGUGGAGCGGUGGAAUGCGCAGAUAUCAGGAGGAACACCAGUGGCGAAGGCGGUUCUCUGGGCCUUUCCUGACGCUGAGGAGCGAAAGCGUGGGGAGCGAACAGGCUUAGAUACCCUGGUAGUCCACGCUGUAAACGGUGGGUACUAGGUGUGGGGUCCAUUCCACGGGUUCCGUGCCGUAGCUAACGCUUUAAGUACCCCGCCUGGGGAGUACGGCCGCAAGGCUAAAACUCAAAGGAAUUGACGGGGCCCCGCACAAGCGGCGGAGCAUGCGGAUUAAUUCGAUGCAACGCGUAGAACCUUACCUGGGUUUGACAUGGAUCGGGAGUGCUCAGAGAUGGGUGUGCCUCUUUUGGGGUCGGUUCACAGGUGGUGCAUGCCUGUCGUCAGCUCGUGUCGUGAGAUGUUGGGUUAAGUCCCGCAACGAGCGCAACCCUUGUUCACUGUUGCCAGCACGUUAUGGUGGGGACUCAGUGGAGACCGCCGGGGUCAACUCGGAGGAAGGUGGGGAUGACGUCAAGUUCUCAUGCCCCUUAUGUCCAGGGCUUCACGCAUGCUACAAUGGCUGGUACAGAGAGUGGCGAGCCUGUGAGGGUGAGCGAAUCUCGGAAAGCCGGUCUCAGUUCGGAUUGGGGUCUGCAACUCGACCUCAUGAAGUCGGAGUCGCUAGUAAUCGCAGAUCAGCAACGCUGCGGUGAAUACGUUCCCGGG